AUAACAUUCAAUAAAAAUUGUUUAAUGAACACCAGAUCUCAUUAAAAAUAGGAUACAAUUUUUUAAAAAUAUCGUAAAAGAAUAUCGUCGCUUUUUCGCAGAUAUUGAUCAAAAAAUAGAAGGCAACCCUUUGCUGAUACACCUUGUUUUCCCAUCCAAGCGAUCCAAAGCCAACAAAAUAAUUUAUUCUCCUACAUAGAUAGAUGAUAGGUAAUAUGAAUUAACAUUUUUUCAAUAUUUAUAUUAUUAGGUUAUUCUAAUAUCUCAAAUACAAAAGUACCUGAGCAAAUUUUGUAUGCAUCCUACGUAUGGUUUCUUAUCAACUAUCCCAAACCAAUAAUUAUGGAUUCUAGACAUAUACCGAAGAAAAGUCUUAAAAAUGAAAAUUGUGUAAAUGUUUUUAUGCAAUUUGUUUCUUUGCGUCGAUGUAUCUGUUGAUAAUAUCUGAUAUUAUCAAAAAUGGUAUUCAAAUGAUCCAUUUUUAAAAUAAACAUACGAGGGCGUACCCAAAAGAAACCGAACUGAUGUUGGGUGGGACAGAGUUUUGGUAGUCG